AGGAUUUUAGUUAAUUAUAACAUUUGAUUUGCAAUCAAAAAGUAUUGAUUUAAUCAAUUUAUCUUA
rnacentral:tRNA from 1 species